AGACAUUAUCAGCUUCACAGGGCGCCCACAAAGAGCACAUGGGAAAAGGCGUUCAAUAGGUGUCUCCAGGGCUCCUCCAAGUCAGGCUCUACAGCUGGGAGACCAGAGUGGCCAUGGAAGGCAUCACUGAGGAGGGAACAUUGAGAUGAUGGCUGAAUAGCCAUCCACGCAGAAAGCUGGGAGAAGAACCUUCUGGACAGGGAGAACAGGAAUUGCAAAGGCCCAAGGUAACCAAGUUCAAUAAAAGGCUACUUUUCCAUCUCCAGUCUUCCGUCCACACCUGAACACACCAUCGUCAACCAGGCCAUCGAGGCCACAAGUUACACACCAUGACCUCAUCACACACUUGAUUUGUUGACUCGGAGCAAGUUACCAGCAAUGAAUUAUCAACCCCUUUCCCAGAAUGGCAAGCCCUGGGGCUAUGUGCAAACUGAGGCGGGAAAAUAAGAGGUGUCAAUAGAGCUGAGUUUGCUCUGGGCCCAGGGCCAUGUAGAUAAGCUGGUUAUCAUCACCAGCUCCAGCUCCAAGAGGCACAGUGGGUGCCACUGCCACCACCAGGAACCCUGGGGUUUGCUUGUCCUCCUGCUGGAACGCCCAGCACACCCACAGGGCCAAGAGGAAAGUAAACGCUCUUGACUAAUCUCCCCCAGUGCUAUCACAGGGGCCCCCCGAAGGUGGCUGCUCCUUUGGCAGAGUCUGGUUCUUCCAUUCCUUCUUGGAAGAUGGCCAUGGGGCAUCAGCACCUGACCAUGAUGUCUGGUGGCUAGAAUUCAACUUGAAAUCAGUUGAGACCCAAGUAAUGCCCAGGCUUUCCCGGUGGGUUUUCCUUGCUCCAUUCUUUGUCUCCAUACAGUGAAGCCCCCAGAAAGCAUCAGUUGUUCAUCCCUCAUCAGGGCCUUCAAAGUUCCAAGGUCUUUCUUGAGCCUCAGAGAGGCAACAAGUCCUUGAAUGCACCCUUGUCUGACCCUCCCAACUCAGCCAAGAAUCCCCUAAAGAUGAAAUAGAACAUUGGGUUUCAAUUGUCGAAGUCUGACCAGAAGAUGUUCCUUACUCUAAAUACAGGCCAGUGUCACACCAACUUACAAGGGUCAGUGUGUUAUGAACAAGGAGGGGAAGCUGUGGGGCUGCCAAGCUGGGCACAAGUCAAGCACUAACCGGCACCACUGCCUCCUGCUUCCUGGUGCCACUCCAGCCGGGGCUGCCCCCACUGUGUCUGGCAGCUUCCAAUAUUGCUUUCCUGCUGCCAUAAGAUGGCAGGUCUGGCAACAGAACUGGAGCCGGACUUAAGGAGAAAGAGGAAGGAACUUCAGCUCUGGCACCUGCAGACCCCCGAAAGUGACCUACGGAAGCUGGCAGCAGGGACUGCAAUUGAGCAUUCUCUCACCUUUCCCUUCUCAGAGCUCCCCAAGCCUAUGCCCAGGUGGGAAGAGGAUUACCUGAGAGCCAGAAGCCCCGGGUCCCAGCACUUCACUAACCUACCUUGCAUCCCUUCUGUAAAUUAUACACCCCAGCUCUCAGUUUCCCCAUCUCCGGGAUAACAGACUGGACUUGUCCAAGAAUAGCAAUCAUUCCCAAUCCAGUGCCGACGCUGGUUGCUAGAACACGUGGCUGAAGGGAUUGUAUGUUGCUCGGGAUUCUGGGGCCACAUCCAGUGGUAGGGGGUGCUGUGGUUCGCUGGCAAUAUCUGCCUUGGACUCAGAAUGGAGCAUGGUAGACCAGGUGCCACGUCACUGACAUGCAGGAGCUAAAGGACCUUUGCACUCCUGCCCAAUGGAACAUUCCAGCACUUGGAUUCUGUGGGAUGAGAUCUGACAGCCAUAAGGCAGAAGUUACCAACUGGGAAGCUCAUGGAUUCUUCAACAGAAACUCGAGUCAGGCUGAUGAAUUACCUUUACUAAAGGAAUGAAUAACAAUAAAAAAAAUUCUAGGUCCAAGACGUGCCAAGAAAGGUUAGAUAUAUUGGACAAUAUUUUAAAAGGAGAGAUGUUUUGGGUGACCUGCUAUUUUGCUGUCCAGCUUGAGAUGAUGCCAAUGGCCACAGAGUAAUAAAAGGGCCACUGAAUAUGGCCUCGUUCCCAUGGCUCACCAGCAGUAAGCAUCUCUACCACCUCCAUGUCUGGAGCAGGAAUUCCAGCAGGAAGGACGCAGCCUCCAGAACCAUUUGACCAGAAGAUCCAAGUGCGACUGGACUGCUGGCCCUGAUACGGCUCCUCAAAGUCUCAAGCUGAUGAUCAGACAACCUCGAGGGGUAGUGGUGGGAGACAGCAGGACGAGGGCCGGAGCCGUGGGCAGGGGAGGCUCAGGAGCAACUCAGCCAGUGUGGGGCCCACCCAGACAAAAUGUUUCCAGCCUGGAUCCUAUCAGGGGAAUUACAGCGGGUGCUCAUCAAGUGGGAGUUCUCAUGACUGAGGUAUGGGUCUUACUUCUCUCACUCAGAUGUAAACCCACUGAGGACAAAACUCAUGGCUGAUUCAUCUCUAUCAAGCCUACUGCCUGGCAUGUGGAAUGUAUGAAUGAGUGAAUGAACGAGAAGAUGAACAAGGCAAAGCGCUCAUAAGCAUGGCCAGUUUGGCCAGGGAGUAGGCUGUAAGAAGACGUCAGAGCCUUCUGCUUGAAUCUGCUGCCUUGCCGCCCACCCCAGGCUAAGGCACGAAGACCCUCAAAGCUGCUGCUGCAGGUCCUUUGGAGGAGCAGGCAGCUGGGCUCCCUGGCUCUCCCAUCUGGAGCAGGAGGCCCAGGACAGGUGCUUUAAAUACCCUCUGGCCACACCCCCAGCCUACUGCCCCUGGCACCAAUGGUGGCAGAGUCACAGGUCAGAAACCAGGAUUCAGGUCACCCCUUAGAAGGAACAGGGCGUAGAUGGGGACAGAUUGGAUCAGAAAAGGCUGAGGAGGCCAGGUCCAGAGCUGUGCACACCUGGGAGUAACGUGGUAUUUGAGAUACCGAGGACAAAAGAGCUGCGGCUGUCGGGGGCAGGACGCACUAUCAGGGGACCUUAACCUCUGUCCCCAAGAGGGGUUCACACCCCAGGCCACCAGUUUCAGUGGGUUUACACUGGGGCUCUGGGCAGGCGCAGCUCAAGGCAGGUGCUCUGAGGGAGAGCAGGGCUGUGAGGGGCUGGGGAGGCUGGCCCAGAAUCUCCCCAUGCCCGCCUGGAGACUGCAGGCCAACUUCCUGGUCAUGCCCCAGUUCCCAGGAAUUUUCCAGCUCCUGCUUAAUAGCUCCAUCCUCCCUCCAUCUGCCCCCAGCCCACUCCCAGUUUCCAAACAUUUUCUUUUUUGCUUCCAGUUAACCCUUGCUCUGCCCAGUACCGAAUUUCUGUCACUGCCUCCUCCAAGACCUUCUCUUGUAUUUUGCCCAAAGCAGGUGUCAGAACCCUUUCUGGGGGCCGAGCAGCUUGGUGUUGGGAGGCUGUGGUUGAGAUUCCCGGCUCUCUUACUCCCUUCCCAGGGCUUGGGCAAAUUCUUGCCCCCAGUGCCUCCUCUCUGCUUCCUGACUCUCCCUUGAGAGCUUGGACCAUAGACCCCAGCACCCUUCCUGCUCAAGGACACACUCCACUCUGAGUAUACACCCAACAGAAACACAUACAUAUGUUCUCUAAAAGAUGUGUAUUAGAAGCCGGGCACAGUGGCUCACGCCUGUAAUCCCAGGACCUUGGGAGGCCAAGGCAGGUGGAUCACUUGAGCCCAGGAGUUUGAGACCAGCCUGGGCAACACAGGGAGACCCCGUCUACACAAAAAUAAAAAAAAUUAGCCAGGCAUGGUGGCACACACCUGUGGUACCAGCUACUUGAGAGGCUGAGGUGGGAGGAUUGCUUGAGUCUGGGAGGUCAAGGCUGUGGUGAGCCAUAAUUGUGCUUCUACACUCUAGCCUGGGUGACAGAGCAAGACCCUGUCUCAAAAAAAAAAAAAAAAAAAGAAUGUGUAUUAGAAUGACUGUAACUAGCAAUAGUAAGUUCUAUAGUUUGAAAUAUCUGGAGGGAGGAUAUUGAAUGCUCCCAAAACAAAGGAAUGAUAAGGCCAGGCGAGGUGGCUCACACUUGUAAUCCCAGCACUUUGGGAGGCCGAGGCGGGUGGAUCACCUAGGAACAGUUCAGGGGUUCGAGACCAGCCUGGCAACAUGGUGAAACCCCGUCUCACUAAAAAUGCAAAAAUUAGCCAGGCUUGGUGGCAGGUGCCUGUAAUCCCAGCUACUCGGGAGGCUGAGUCAGGAGAAUCUUUUGAACCCGGGAGGUGGAGUUUGCAGUGAGCCAAGAUGGCACCAUUUCACUUCAGUCUGGGCAACAGAGCGAGAUUCUGCCUCCAAAAAAAACAAAGGAAUGAUAAAUGUUCAAGAUGAUAAAUAUGCUAAUUACUCUGAUCUGAUCACUAAACAUUAUGUGUACGGAAACAUCCCUAUGUACCCAUAAAUAUGUACAAUUAUUACAUGUCAAUUAAAAAGAAAAGAGCUAGGCACAGUAGCUCAUGGUGUAAAUCCAGCACUUGGGAAGGCCAAGGCGGAAGGACUGCUUGAGGCCAAGGGUUCAGGACCAGCCUGAGCAACAUACCAAGACUUCAUUUCUAUUGUUUUUAAUAAAUAAAUAAAAGGAGAAGAAAGAAGAUGUGUAUAUAAGAGAACGUUCAUAGAGCACUGUUCCUAAGAACUCCACACUGGAAGCUUCCCAAAUGCCUAUGAACUGAAAAAGAGAAAAUAACAGGUAUAUUGAUGCAGAGGAAUAAUACACAGCAAUGAAAAUGACUGAGUAACAACUCCACACACCGCCAUUCGUGGAUGCCUCUCCUAAACAUGAUUUUGAGCAAAGAAGCACAAUGCAAACUAAAGUGCUUGUUAUGUGGUACUGCUUAGCAAAAGUACAAAAACAGGGAAAUGAAUCUUUGCUGUUUGGAAAUUAGAGUAGUGAUACGCUUGGUUUGGCCCUAGGAUAGUGACUGGGAAGAGCCUGGGGUGGGGUCCCGGGGUACCUGACAUGCUCUUUUGCUGGGUCUGGGUUGUGGUUACAUGCGUGUGCUUGGUUUGUGAAAAUUCAUCAAGCUGUUUCUUACGAUAUGCACCUUUCUGUGUGCAUAUCAUAUCUUGAGAAAAGUUUUAAAAUGAUAAUGUAGAUUUAUAAAAAUCACUUGUAAAAUACAAGACCAUGAUUUUUCUUUUAAAAGCGGGUUUGGGUUGCAAAUAAAGUAGCGCAGCAGAAGCAAGCUGGGCCUAUCAAAACAGGUUGGUUGCAAAACAUGUGCCAUAUCUUGUGGUCCUAUAUUUGUAAGUAAAUCAAUAUAUUCAUUUACUACGCCAGUGGU
rnacentral:lncRNA from 1 species